GGUGAAUAUUCCUGUACUUCUGGUUACUGCGAUGGAGGGACGGAGAAGGCUAGGCCAGCUUGGCGUUGGUUGUCCAAGUUUAAGGUGGUAGGCUGAAAUCUUAGGUAAAUCCGGGGUUUCAAGGCCGAGAGCUGAUGACGAGUCGUCUUUUAGAUGACGAAGUGGUUGAUGCCAUGCUUCCAAGAAAAGCUUCUAAGCUUCAGGUAACCAGGAACCGUACCCCAAACCGACACAGGUGGUCGGGUAGAGAAUACCAAGGCGCUUGAGAGAACUCGGGUGAAGGAACUAGGCAAAAUGGCACCGUAACUUCGGGAGAAGGUGCGCCGGCUAGGGUGAAGGAUUUACUCCGUAAGCUCUGGCUGGUCGAAGAUACCAGGCCGCUGCGACUGUUUAUUAAAAACACAGCACUCUGCAAACACGAAAGUGGACGUAUAGGGUGUGACGCCUGCCCGGUGCCGGAAGGUUAAUUGAUGGGGUUAGCGCAAGCGAAGCUCUUGAUCGAAGCCCCGGUAAACGGCGGCCGUAACUAUAACGGUCCUAAGGUAGCGAAAUUCCUUGUCGGGUAAGUUCCGACCUGCACGAAUGGCGUAACGAUGGCGGCGCUGUCUCCACCCGAGACUCAGUGAAAUUGAAAUCGCUGUGAAGAUGCAGUGUAUCCGCGGCUAGACGGAAAGACCCCGUGAACCUUUACUGUAGCUUUGCACUGGACUUUGAGCCUGCUUGUGUAGGAUAGGUGGGAGGCUUUGAAGCGUGGACGCCAGUUCGCGUGGAGCCAUCCUUGAAAUACCACCCUGGCAUGCUUGAGGUUCUAACUCUGGUCCGUAAUCCGGAUCGAGGACAGUGUAUGGUGGGCAGUUUGACUGGGGCGGUCUCCUCCUAAAGAGUAACGGAGGAGUACGAAGGUGCGCUCAGACCGGUCGGAAAUCGGUCGCAGAGUAUAAAGGCAAAAGCGCGCUUGACUGCGAGACAGACACGUCGAGCAGGUACGAAAGUAGGUCUUAGUGAUCCGGUGGUUCUGUAUGGAAGGGCCAUCGCUCAACGGAUAAAAGGUACUCCGGGGAUAACAGGCUGAUACCGCCCAAGAGUUCAUAUCGACGGCGGUGUUUGGCACCUCGAUGUCGGCUCAUCACAUCCUGGGGCUGA
rnacentral:rRNA from 1 species